AGAGUUUGAUCCUGGCUCAGGAUGAACGCUAGCGGCAGGCCUAAUACAUGCAAGUCGAGGGGUAAGGCCCACUUCGGUGGGUACACGACCGGCGCACGGGUGCGUAACGCGUAUGCAACCUACCUCUAACAGGAAGAUAGCCCCAAGAAAUCGGGAUUAAUAUUCCAUAACAAUAAUAUGUGACAUCACAGAUUAUUUAAAGCUCCGGCGGUUAAAGAUGGGCAUGCGUAAGAUUAGUUAGUUGGUGGGGUAACGGCUCACCAAGACAGCGAUCUUUAGGGGAUCUGAGAGGAUAAUCCCCCACACUGGUACUGAGACACGGACCAGACUCCUACGGGAGGCAGCAGUAAGGAAUAUUGCGCAAUGGAGGCAACUCUGACGCAGCCAUGCCGCGUG
rnacentral:rRNA from 1 species